ACCGGUUCCCGUACAAUCACCGGAGUUAAGCAAUGUCGUGCUUGGUCAGUAUCUAGAUGGGUGACCGCUUUGGAAUACCAAGUGCUGUA